rnacentral:lncRNA from 1 species
GUGGCCGCGACUAUGCUCUACGUGGGCCGGAGCACCCGGGCAGUGGCGGAACCCCGGAGCUCCAGGGCUGGAUCCACUUUAUCUGAGAUGCCUACGGCCAACCACGGAAAAAACCCAAGGCUCCUCCUUGACAGUCUUCUAGAAAGAAGAAGGAAAAGAAGUAGUUCCUGAUGCUGCAGAUGAACAAGGAGCUCCCAGCCUUAAUCCUUUGAAGAAAGAUGGCUGGAAAAGAGAAAUCCCAUCAUUCCUCAAAUGCCCAUUUAAACAUCAUCCUUUUCUGGUGAAGAAAACAAAGAAUUUCAUGCAUCUCGUGGAUCACCUCCAGGUCAGAGUUCCAGCAGAGGGAAGAGAGUGUACUGGACACCACCAAGCAAUGCACCUUUUAGUCACCAAUGAAGAGCCCAAGGGAGGAUAAUGGAGCGGGAGACUGGGCCAAGGCUCGGUGUAUAAUAAUCUCUUGCUUAAUGUGUGUGCAUUACUGUUAUGUUGUAUUAGCAAUUGCAACAGCUCAUAUUUUCUUACUUAUCCACUAAAAUCUGGUGUCUUGCAUGCAUUAUAAUCCUCAAAAAACCCUAUGAUUUGAGUAUUAUUAUUCCUGUUUUAGAAAAAAACAGUAACUUGUUCCAGAUCACACAGCUAGUAAAUGGCAGAGCUAGGAUUGUGAACCUAGGUAAUCUCCAGAGAUGCAGGUUCAAUCCCUGGCUUCGCUCAGUAGUUAAGGAUCUGGCAUUGCUGCAGGCUGCACUGCAUAGGUCAAGGAUGUGGCUUGGAUCUGGCAUUGCUGUGGCUGAGCGUAGGCUGGCAGCUGCAGCUCUAAUUCAACCCCUCGCCCAGGAAUUCCAUAUGCCGCAGUUGUGGCCCUAAAAAGAAGACCCCCAAAAAAACCCCAAAAUCUUGCCAUUAAAAUAAAUAAAUAAAACAGGAUGUUCUCCUGUGGUGCCACAGGUUAAAGGAUCCCACAUUGCCCAAUCUGUGGCAUAAAUCGCAACUGUGGCGCAGGUUCAAUUCCUGACCCUGGAGCUUCCACAUACUGCAGGUGCAGCCAAAACAAAAACAAAAAACCCUUGCCAUAUAUCAUCUCUUAUUAGGAAAGACCAGUUUCCAAUUGUGCUCUGAUGUCCCAUCCUCCCAGUCUCCCCCACUGGCUUGGAGAAGGCAAAGCACUGAAGGUCCCAAGCUUCAUCUGCUCCUUCCAGGGGCUUGCUGUUGUCUCCUGUGCCAGUGUCCCAGCUCUGCAGAAUCAGCAAGGAACCACUGCACCUGCCUGCUGGAGAACUUGCGAACCCAUUUGAACUCCGGCCUCUCCACUCUCCAUACUUUGGAAUUCUCGCCUGGCCUUAGCCAGUCUUCUAUGCUUGGUGUGCUGUGCACCUUCCCAUCACCCCUAUUAGCCUUGAACAGGCCAAUUCCCUCAAGUUUCCACUCGAGGGGUCCACUAGGACAAUUGCUGGAUGGUCUGUGCUUGAGCAGAUACAUGAAAACAAGUUCUGGGCAGAGAACCAAGGAGAAUCCAUUGUUGCUAAACUUUUUCUCUAGGAAGUACCAUGGCUCACUCAUACCCCUAUUCUCAGCUUUAAAGAGCCAAGACAUGAAUCUUCCGGUUCUUCCCAAAGAGAGCUGCCCUAGGGCCUAGGGGUAAGCUGCUAGUCUAAUCUGACUUCGGAAACACUAGGAAUUUGGCAGAAUCUUUAGAGAUAUGUCAUGUGUGGUGGGGACUUUCCUCUAAAGACUGAUGACUAGGAAUAGGAACAAUUUUGGGUAUAACCUGUCUGCCAUGGACUGGGAAGUGCCAUAAGAGAAACCCUUACCAUGGUCAGGAGCUUGGGUCCUUGAAGAAACACAGCAAAAACACUCCUUCCCUGUCUUCUCAUCCAGACCUCAGAUGUCUUCCUACACAUUCCUUCUGUUCCUUUGUUUUCCUUUAUGAAUAUAGCUUAUCAUUUCACUCUAAUAAGCCCUAAAUCAACUUUCUAACCUAAUCCUGCGUUCCCUUGCUCCUAACUCCUGUUUCUCUGGAGCACCACUGGAUCCUUACAAUCUGUAGGUUAGAGCAUCCAGAGACCUGGAAAGGCUUCUCUUUAGAGAUCAUUGGGUGCAGAUAAGGACACAAGUUCAGAGAUGAGCAGGGACCCUGGAAGGGUCAGAGGAUUUGUUAGCGCCACUCCAGAUGGGACUUAGACCUGGGCCUCUUGACCACAUCCUAUUCCCAGGCUACAAAACAGGCCACUCUCCACAUGGUCAGACCCAGGAUUUUUCAUGGCAAGGGAUAAUGUCAGAGAUGUUUCAUUUUUUCCUAACUCCCAUUCCCUUCUCCAUCCAGGCAGAAAGAGAGACAAAGGGGGCUGGUAUGUCCCCAGCCUUGGCACUUUCAGUGAUACUGCUGAAGAACAGUGAAGUUGCUAAAAUAAUCCAUUUAAUAGCUAACUUCAAGGGGAAAUGAAAGUUGCUGUGUGAAUCCCCCAAAACCACUGUUCCCAUCAGGUUCUCCCAGAACCUCCUCUGACCCUUCACAGUGCAGCCCUGUUCACUGGGCUCCAGACUCACUGGUAUUGUGCCUCAUUUUGGCCUCAUGCAAGUGACCUCCCUCCUGGAUAAAAGACCUCAUAUUUGAAAUAAAGUUGAAAUAUGAAAAGAAAG